GACGAACGCUGGCGGCGUGCUUAACACAUGCAAGUCGAACGGAAAGGCCCUGCUUUUGUGGGGUGCUCGAGUGGCGAACGGGUGAGUAACACGUGAGUAACCUGCCCUUGACUUUGGGAUAACUUCAGGAAACUGGGGCUAAUACCGGAUAGGAGCUCCUGCUGCAUGGUGGGGGUUGGAAAGUUUCGGCGGUUGGGGAUGGACUCGCGGCUUAUCAGCUUGUUGGUGGGGUAGUGGCUUACCAAGGCUUUGACGGGUAGCCGGCCUGAGAGGGUGACCGGCCACAUUGGGACUGAGAUACGGCCCAGAAUCCUACGGGAGGCAGCAGUGAGGAAUAUUGCACAAUGGGCGGAAGCCUGAUGCAGCAACGCCGCGUGCGGGAUGACGGCCUUCGGGUUGUAAACCGCUUUCGAAUGUGACGAAGCGUGAGUGACGGUAAUGGGUAAAGAAGCACCGGCUAACUACGUG
rnacentral:rRNA from 1 species